AUAAGCUCUUUUCUACUUCCUCAUUCCCAACAACUUUUAUUUUCGAGAGUCGUUCAUCACCGAGUUUCUCAACUAUAGAACUUUUUUUUUUUUGACAGCAAAGGGAAAACAUUAGCAAGCUUGCAAGCAGUCAACAAAGCAUCUUGAACUCUAGCAAUCUGAUGAACUGUGUCAUUGAGAUUUGCUUUUACAAGGUGCUGUACGGAACAUGCUUAUGCAAAAAAAUAUAGAUGGAAAAGAGGGAGAGAAAA